GCUCAGAACGAACGCUGGCGGCGUGGAUAAGACAUGCAAGUCGAACGAGAUCUCCGGAUAGCUUGCUAACUGGAGUGAAAGUGGCGGACGGGUGCGUAACACGUGAGCAACCUGCCCUGAAGUGGGGGAUAGCUCUCCGAAAGGAGGAUUAAUACCGCAUGUGGUCUUCGGAUCAAAGGUGGCUUCGGCUGCCGCUUCGGGAUGGGCUCGCGGCCUAUCAGCUUGUUGGUGAGGUAACGGCUCACCAAGGCGAUGACGGGUAGCUGGUCUGAGAGGACGAUCAGCCUCACUGGAACUGAGACACGGUCCAGACACCUACGGGUGGCAGCAGUCGAGAAUCAUUCACAAUGGGCGCAAGCCUGAUGGUGCAACGCCGCGUGGAGGAUGACGGCCUUCGGGUUGUAAACUCCUGUCAUCUGGGAGUAAUCCUUGUUCGUUAAUAGCGGACAAGGUUGAUAGUACCAGAAGAGGAAGCGCCGGCUAACUCCGUGCCAGCAGCCGCGGUAAUACGGAGGGCGCAAGCGUUGUUCGGAAUCACUGGGCGUAAAGCGUGCGUAGGCGGCGCGGUAAGUCAGAUGUGAAAUCUCUGGGCUCAACCCGGAAACUGCAUCCGAUACUGCCGUGCUGGAGUAAUGGAGGGGUAGCUGGAAUUCUCGGUGUAGCAGUGAAAUGCGUAGAUAUCGAGAGGAACACUAGUGGCGAAGGCGAGCUACUGGACAUUUACUGACGCUGAGGCACGAAGGCCAGGGUAGCGAAAGGGAUUAGAUACCCCUGUAGUCCUGGCAGUAAACGGUGCGCGUUUGGUGUGGGAGGAUUCGACCCCUUCUGUGCCGGAGCUAACGCGUUAAACGCGCCGCCUGGGAAGUACGGCCGCAAGGCUAAAACU
rnacentral:rRNA from 1 species